UACAUUUGCCCUUUUCCAGUCUGCUGGAAUCUCUCCCAUCUUCCAUGACUUUUCAACUAUAAUAACCAAAGUAAAACUAGCCCAUUGGGUCUGUGAGCAGACAUCAGCGAUAAAGGGGUGCAGGAUCCAGAAAAGAGAAGCCAGUAGUGAACACUGACCGUGGACAACAGAUGAAACAGACAGACGAACUAUUGCAAGAAGGUGUGGAUACAACAGUACAUUGAGAGCCGAGAAGGAAGGACUGUGCUGGAGUACUAAUUCUGAACAUGGCACUAGGUCUUUCAUGAACCCAAGGAGCUGAUAUAUUUCCAGAAACCCACCCCAUGGUACAUGCUCAGGUACUUCCAAUUUAAUGCAACCGCAAAUCUGAGAACUGUUGGGCACCCUAAGUUUGGUACAAUUCCCAAAAGAGGUUUUACUAUAUCCCACUUACAUGACAUUUCUGUUUUUUCUCUGCAUCCCACAGGUGCAGCCUGAUAGUUAAGGCACAUUUCUGAAAUUACUGCUUGAAAUAUACCUGCCUUGUUCGAUCUUUCUUUGACCCACUUGAGCACACAGCACGGUUCUUCCUUGAUCAUUAAAACAGAAAUGGGGUCAUUUUGUUCCAAAGGAUCCAGGGUGGCCAUGGGAUCCUCUGUGGCAUAAU